rnacentral:rRNA from 1 species
CCUACGGGAGGCAGCAGUGCGGAAUAUUGGUCAAUGGACGAGAGUCUGAACCAGCCAAGUAGCGUGAAGGAUGACUGCCCUAUGGGUUGUAAACUUCUUUUAUAUAGGAAUAAAAUGUUCCACGUGUGCGUUUUUGUAUGUACUAUAUGAAUAAGGAUCGGCUAACUCCGUGCCAGCAGCCGCGGUAAUACGGAGGAUCCGAGCGUUAUCCGGAUUUAUUGGGUUUAAAGGGAGCGUAGGUGGGUUGUUAAGUCAGUUGUGAAAGUUUGCGGCUCAACCGUAAAAUUGCAGUUGAGACUGGCAGUCUUGAGUACAGUAGAGGUGGGCGGAAUUCGUGGUGUAGCGGUGAAAUGCUUAGAUAUCACGAAGAACUCCGAUUGCGAAGGCAGCUCACUAGACUGCCACUGACACUGAGGCUCGAAAGUGUGGGUAUCAAACAGGAUUAGAUACCCCUGUAGUC